rnacentral:rRNA from 1 species
CUCGUAGGCGGUCCUGAAAGUCAGCUGUGAAAUCACCAGGCUUAACCUGGUAGGGUCAGCUGAAACUUCAGGACUUGAGGGUAGAAGAGGAAAGCGGAAUUCCCGGUGUAGCGGUGAAAUGCGUAGAUAUCGGGGAGGAACACCAGUGGCGAAGGCGGCUUUCUGGUCUACCCCUGACGCUGAGGAGCGAAAGCCAGGGGGAGCAAACG